CGAGGGGUAUAGGUUUUCGGACCUAGAGACCGGCGCACGGGUGCGUAACGCGUAUGCAAUCUACCUUUUACAGAGGGAUAGCCCAGAGAAAUUUGGAUUAAUACCUCAUAGUAUUACGACUCGGCAUCGAGAUGUAAUUAAAGUCACAACGGUAAAAGAUGAGCAUGCGUCCCAUUAGCUAGUUGGUAAGGUAACGGCUUACCAAGGCAACGAUGGGUAGGGGUCCUGAGAGGGAGAUCCCCCACACUGGUACUGAGACACGGACCAGACUCCUACGGGAGGCAGCAGUGAGGAAUAUUGGUCAAUGGGCGCAAGCCUGAACCAGCCAUGCCGCGUGCAGGAUGAAGCAUCUAUGGUGUGUAAACUGCUUUUGUACGAGAAGAAACACUCCUACGUGUAGGAGCUUGACGGUAUCGUAAGAAUAAGGACCGGCUAACUCCGUGCCAGCAGCCGCGGUAAUACGGAGGGUCCAAGCGUUAUCCGGAAUCAUUGGGUUUAAAGGGUCCGUAGGCGGUUUUGUAAGUCAGUGGUGAAAGCCCAUCGCUCAACGGUGGAACGGCCAUUGAUACUGCAAGACUUGAAUUAUUAGGAAGUAACUAGAAUAUGUAGUGUAGCGGUGAAAUGCUUAGAGAUUACAUGGAAUACCAAUUGCGAAGGCAGGUUACUACUAAUGGAUUGACGCUGAUGGACGAAAGCGUGGGGAGCGAACAGGAUUAGAUACCCUGGUAGUCCACGCCGUAAACGAUGGAUA
rnacentral:rRNA from 1 species